rnacentral:rRNA from 1 species
GGGGAUAGAGGGGGGAAGCGCUGGUCCUAUACAUGCAAGUCGAGCGAAUGGAUUAAGAGCUUGCUCUUAUGAAGUUAGCGGCGGACGGGUGAGUAACACGUGGGUAACCUGCCCAUAAGACUGGGAUAACUCCGGGAAACCGGGGCUAAUACCGGAUAACAUUUUGAACCGCAUGGUUCGAAAUUGAAAGGCGGCUUCGGCUGUCACUUAUGGAUGGACCCGCGUCGCAUUAGCUAGUUGGUGAGGUAACGGCUCACCAAGGCAACGAUGCGUAGCCGACCUGAGAGGGUGAUCGGCCACACUGGGACUGAGACACGGCCCAGACUCCUACGGGAGGCAGCAGUAGGGAAUCUUCCGCAAUGGACGAAAGUCUGACGGAGCAACGCCGCGUGAGUGAUGAAGGCUUUCGGGUCGUAAAACUCUGUUGUUAGGGAAGAACAAGUGCUAGUUGAAUAAGCUGGCACCUUGACGGUACCUAACCAGAAAGCCACGGCUAACUACGUGCCAGCAGCCGCGGUAAUACGUAGGUGGCAAGCGUUAUCCGGAAUUAUUGGGCGUAAAGCGCGCGCAGGUGGUUUCUUAAGUCUGAUGUGAAAGCCCACGGCUCAACCGUGGAGGGUCAUUGGAAACUGGGAGACUUGAGUGCAGAAAGAGGAAAGUGAAAUUCCAUGUGUAGCGGUGAAAUGCGUAGAGAUAUGGAGGAACACCAGUGGCGAAGGCGACUUUUCUGGUCUGUAACUGACACUGAGGCGCGAAAGCGUGGGGAGCAACAGGAUUAGAUACCCCUGGUAGUCCACGCCGUAAACGAUGAGUGCUAAGUGUUAGAGGGUUUCCGCCCUUUAGUGCUGAAGUUAACGCAUUAAGCACUCCGCUGGGGGAGUACGGCCGCGAUGCGUGAAACUCAAAUGAUUUGACGGGGGCCCCGCACAAGCCGUGGAGCUAUGUUGUUUUAUUUCCGAGCACCGAGGAGAACCUUUACAGGUCUUGGACAUUCCUCUGAAAACCUUGAGAGUAGGCUUCCUUCCUUCCGGGACAGAGGACAAGUGGAUGCAAUGGUUGUCCGUCGCUCGGUUCGGGGAAUGGUAGGUAACGUUGCCGCUGAGAGCAGCCAACUUGACUUAAUUCCAUAUAAGUUGACCUCUAAGAGCACUGCCGUACUCUUAC